CUAUAACUCAUAUAUAAUUGUUUAGAUAUCCCUACUAGUCAUGUGUUUUUAAGUAUAUAAAUGACCUAUACAUUGUAAGCCUCGGAAUAUAAUUUUAAUAUCUUCACCAAAGGCAGUUUCUGAACUCCACAAAAUCUACCAACUUAUUAUUUAAAAAAUGAAUUCCAUAACCAUGUCCAAGUUAACUAUUGUUGUAUUUUUGGUCACACUGUUGGCGAUUGGCUCUUUUGCUUGCGUACAACAUGGAAAUGACUGUACUAUGGGUGGUGAAAAAUGUUGCUCUCCCUAUGGAUGUAGAAAAAAUGAUUUUUAUCAUUAAUGCAAUAUAAGUGCUAUCUUGGCGCACGCUCUUUUGUUCGCCAAAUAGCUGUUUGCCCAUUCAACUGUUUCCGCGACAUUUGUGUGCGUUAAACGAUUAUCUGCGUGCGACAAGUAAAUUUGAGUGCGACAAGUAAACUUGUCGCACUCAAAUUUACUUCUUGUCGCAUGCAGAUUAUCGUUUAACCCACAAAAAUGUCGCGGCAACAGUUGAAUCAGCAAAAAGCUACUUGGAGAAUAAAACAGCGAGCACUAAGAUAGUACUUAUAUUGCAUUAAUGAUAAAAAAAACUGUGUUCAAUUCGUGCGGUGUUGUCGAUUACCCACUCGAGCGAAUGAGCGCACUCACUUCGUUCGUGCGCUCAACUUCGCUCUCGUGGGCAAUCGACAACUUACCGCACUAGUUGUACAAUAUACUAUUUAAUCAUUUAACAUGCGGCGUAACCCCGGAUAUGUAUAUAAACUAGUUACUUAUAACUCUUAUAAGUAAGGUGGUGACGUCUAUGGCUGAGUCCACAUUUUAAUUUUUUUAUUUCAGAUAUAAUAGUAACAAUUAUUAAUACUGUAAUGAUCAUUAUUAUCUGAAUAAAAAUAAUUCCCAU